rnacentral:rRNA from 1 species
AGGACGAACGCUGGCGGCGUGCUUAACACAUGCAAGUCGAGCGGUAAGGCUCCUUCGGGAGUACACGAGCGGCGAACGGGUGAGUAACACGUGAGCAAUCUGCCCUUCACAUCGGAAUAACCUCGGGAAACCGAGGCUAAUACCGGAUACGACCAUCGGUGGCAUCAUCUGAUGGUGGAAAGUUCCGGCGGUGAAGGAUGAGCUCGCGGCCUAUCAGCUUGUUGGUGGGGUAAUGGCCUACCAAGGCGACGACGGGUAGCCGGCCUGAGAGGGUGACCGGCCACACUGGGACUGAGACACGGCCCAGACUCCUACGGGAGGCAGCAGUGGGGAAUAUUGCACAAUGGGCGCAAGCCUGAUGCAGCAACGCCGCGUGAGGGACGACGGCCUUCGGUUGUAACCUCUUUAGUAGGAAGAAGCGAAGUGACGGUACCUGCAGAAAAGCACCGGCUAACUACGCGCCAGCAGCCGC